AAAAUUAGUUUUAAUAUAUUGGGGUUCCAUUGGAUUUUGUUGGGCCAACCAAUUAGUGGGACGUGGGGCCCACAUGGCCACUCAUGGGGUGAGACUUCCCACCUCCUCUUAUUUUUUCCUAAAUUGGUUGAUUCUAAUUAGGCCACCUCUUCACUUGAGAAUUUAAGAAAAGUGUGGUGUAGAAAUUUUAAUCGAUUUCAAAAAGGGAAAGUGUAAGAAAUAAUUGAUACUGAUGGGAAUAACGUUAAGGAAACUGAGGGAUAAUGGUUCCACCUCAUUCCUUUAAUCCUGAUGGUUGAUCUAAAGAAUGAAUAAAUGAAAACUCUUCACCCCACAGACCUCCAAGAUCAAAAGUCAAGAUUAAGUCUCAUAAUGAUGGCAAAACCCUACAAACCCUAGCUUUUAUUAUAUAAAAACUAGCGAUGGGGGGGCUCAUUCUCUACACACCUGAUAUCUCAAUCUCUCUCUCUCUGAGCUUAAGGGGUGGCACGCCCCUCUCAAAUCUCUCUCUAUUUCUCUCUCUCUAAAUUAGGGUUUAGGAAGCAUAAGAAAUCCUAACGGGUGGCACACCCUAGCUUUCUAGUUUGUCCAUAUGCUCAUGUAUUGAACUUUGGUUUAGGUUAUCCCAUGUCAUGCUCUCUGCUGGUUUUGCUUAGGCUUCCCAAGUUGUGAGACAAGUUCUUGAAUCUAGAUCCCGUGCGCCAUUAGUGGAGGAGACCCAGUAUAGGGUGUGCUAAGUCCUUGGGGGUAACCUGAGGCAAGGUAUUGUUGAUAGUAUAAGGCAAGGUACUAGUGCCUCGAAUUCAAAAUUUUCAUUAUUUUGAAAUCAAGAAGUUAAAGAAAAU
rnacentral:lncRNA from 1 species